GACGAACGCUGGCGGCGUGCUUAACACAUGCAAGUCGAACGGAAAGGCCCUGCUUUUGUGGGGUGCUCGAGUGGCGAAAGGGUGAGUAACACGUGAGUAACCUGCCCUUGACUUUGGGAUAACUUCAGGAAACUGGGGCUAAUACCGGAUAGGAGCUCCUGCUACAUGGUGGGGGUUGGAAAGUUUCGGCGGUUGGGGAUGGACUCGCGGCUUAUCAGCUUGUUGGUGGGGUAGUGGCUUACCAAGGCUUUGACGGGUAGCCGGCCUGAGCGGGUGACCGGCGACAUUGGGACGGAGAUACGGCCAAGACUCCUACGGGAGGCAGCAGUGGGGAAUAUUGCACAAUGGGCGGAAGCCUGAUGCAGCAACGCCGCGUGCGGGAUAACGGCCUUCGGGUUGUAAUCCGCUUUCGCCUGUGACGAAGCGUGGGUGACGGUAAUGGGUAAAGAAGCACCGGCUAACUACGUG
rnacentral:rRNA from 1 species